rnacentral:lncRNA from 1 species
ACUGUUUACAUGGGUGGAUAGUGAUAGGGCAAAGGAGAAUGGUUUUAAUCUGAGACAGGGGAAGUUUAGGUUAGAUGUUAGGAGGAAGUUUUUCACACAGAGGGUGGUGAUGCACUGGAACAGGUUGCCCAGAGAGGUUGUAGAUGCUCUGUCCUUGGAGGCAUUCAAGGCCAGGCUGGAUGUGGCUCUGUGCAGCCUGGUCUAGUGGCUGAUGACGCUGCACACAGCAGGGGGGUUGAAACUAGAUGAUCUUUGAAGUCUUUUUCAACCCAGGCCAUUCUAUGAUUCUAUGAUUCCGAUAUGUUAGAAACUUGAGGAGAUCCAAUCGACCUGUGAGGAUAGGGAAAUUAAAGUGGAAGAGAACUAGCAAGUACAUAGAAUUGUAGAAUAUCAUGAAUUGGAAGACACCCACAAAGAUCAUGGAGUUCAACUUCUGGCUCCACACACGACUACUCAAAAUUCAGAAAUUUACAGUGGUUACAACUAGUGGUAUCUGUGCAACCCAUUUUUUUUUUCUUUUGGACAUUAGCAGUUGACCUCUGAUUUCUACCUCCUGCUGAGAUAGACAUAUUUUUGUUUCUUAAUCAGAAGAAACUACAUGAAAACAGGAGAGCCUCAUGAGGCUGGUGAUGCAGCUGCCUGUGAGAAGAGCUGUUUAUUCUUAAAAGGUGUUUCAAUUCUUCUUAAUGACAUUUUUAAUUUUUCUUCUAGGGACUUAGAGACAAAUGUUCUACCUUAGACAUGCCACAGGCAGCAGCCUGAGACUGAGGAAACCUCUACACCCUGCCUUCACUCUGCAGCUGAUAACCAGCCAGACUCAACCUGACUCACACCGCAGCAGAGACAGUCUGAAGGGUAACAUUAAAAAGCAGCUUCAUCAAGGUGAGCACAUUGAUUUUGACUACCAGAAUUGUUACUUCUGCAGUGUAGAUGCAUGGCUGCUACACAGUGUACCAGAGGGACACGAGGAGCCAUGGUGAAGCAUCUCAUCUUACAGAGCAGGCAUUUCCAGCAGAAAGGAAA